UUUAUCCAGUCUACUGUUGAUGGGUAUUUAGAUUGAUUCCAUGUCUUUGCUGUUGCAAAUGGUGCUGCAAUGAACCCAUGCACAGUAGGAGUAUCUCUUAUCUCUACUCUAAUAGGCUCACCUCAUUAGGUCAGGCCCAGCUAGUUAAUUUCCUUUUUGUUUAACAUAAGUUUGACUGAUUAGAGACCUUAAUUACAUCUUCAAAGUACCUUUCUUCUUUUCUAUUCUAUUGGUUAAAAGCAAGUUGUUAGUCCUGCUCAUACUCAAGAGGGAGGGAUUACAGACAGGUGUGGAUAUCAGGAGCUAAAAAUAUCAGGGCCAUUUUAUAAUCCUGCCUACCACACUCUGUGACUACAGUUUGCAAAUAAUUUAAGAGGGAGAAAAUAAUAUCCUGUUUAUGUUAUCUUAAUUUGUAAUUUUUCGCCUGUAUUUUAACCAGCAUGAAAGCACUAUAGAAGCUAUAAUAUCCUCUGUAACUAUUAAAUAAUAUGGUGGUUAUGAAUAUUUUCUUAUCUUUGCAUAACUCAAAGGAGAGUUUUGUGACCGUUCUCCUUCUAAGGUUAAGCUGUAAUAGAAAUUCAGUUGAUGAGACAAGAUGGAAGUUCUGCCAUUGAAUACUCCUUGAACUUGGAACUCUUCUGAAUAGGCCCAAAGGACAAAAACUUUGACUAUAUAAACUACUUUUGGUCAUUACAGGUCGACUAUUAUGUUCUCUUGUCUUAUGAAACAAAUAUCAUCUAAAAUAUUGUACAUGAUUAUAAACAUAACCUUUCCAAAAUAAAAUCAGAACUUAUUCCUGUGCCAGCAUCA